rnacentral:misc_RNA from 1 species
UGCAGAAGGAUCAUUAGUGAAGAUUUGGGCAGGCCAUACGGACGCCAAAAAGUGUCCCUGGCCGCCUACACCCACUAUACAUCCACAAACCCGUGUGCACUGUCUUGGAGAAAGGCUUCAGAGAAGUUUUUUGUGGCCUCUCUUGGGGUCUUUCUUCGCUACAAACUCGAAUGGUUAGUAUGAACGUGGAACUUGGUUGGACCGUCACUGGCCAACAAACUAUACACAACUUUCGACAACGGAUCUCUUGGUUCUCCCA